ensembl:lncRNA
AGUAAUGUUCUGGUUGGUUGUUCUACUGGCUGUCUCUACAGGUGAAACACACAGGUAGGAAUGUUCUGGUUGGUUGUUCUACUGGCUGUCUCUACAGGUGUUGCAGGAAGCUACAUAUCUAACAUGGCACAGAGGGAUUUUUCUCCUUUUCUGUUUUGGCUUCCAAAAUCUUUUGUGUUUCCGUUACAUUUUGGGGAAGAAAAUUACCUGUAAGUCUGUAUAGUUCUGGCAGUGUAAAAAAUGAAGCUCUGUCUCAACUUGUCCUCUCAUGGUAGCCAGAUCUGUCUGUGAUUGCCAGUCUCUACGGCCAGGCUGUCCUCUCUGGGUAGCCAGAUCUGUCUGUGAUUGCCAGUCUCUACGGCCAGGCUGUCCUCUCUGGGUAGCCAGAUCUGUCUGUGAUUGCCAGUCUCUACGGCCAGACUGUCCUCUCUGGGUAGCCAGAUCUGUCUGUGAUUGCAAGUCUCUACGGCCAGACUGUCCACAGAGUUUUCUAUCAGACACAGUGGUCAGAUACCUGAUGUACUGUCUGUUUAGAGACAGAUUUUCUGAGUGCUGUCCUGAGGCGCUCUGUCAAUUCAAUUUCAAUUCAAGGGCUUUAUUGGCAUGGGAAACAUGUGUUAACAUUGCCAAAGCAAGUGAGGUAGAUAAUAUACAAAGUGAAAUAAACAAUAAAAAUUAACAGUAAACAUUACACAUACAGAAGUUUCAAAACAAUAAAGACAUUACAAAUGUCAUAUUAUAUAUAUACAGUGUAUUAACAAUGUACAAAUGGUUAAAGGACACAAGAUAAAAUAAAUAAGCAUAAAUAUGGGUUGUAUUUACAAUGGUGUUUGUUCUUCACUGGUUGCCCUUUUCUCGUGGCAACAGGUCACAAAUCUUGCUGCUGUGAUGGCACACUGUGGAAUUUCACCCAGUAGAUAUGGAAGUUUAUCAAAAUUGGAUUUGUUUUUGAAUUCUUUGUGGAUCUGUGUAAUCUGAGGGAAAUAUGUCUCUCUA